GGAAUGAAGAGGCCCAAAGUUUACAAAUUUUGCUUUCAGCUCAGGAAUUGAGGGCAGAGUUGUUUCAGGAGGGAACUUCAUCAUUAACAUUGUUCAACAGUCUGGACCUGAGCUUCUAGCUUCUUAUCAUUUACUGCCUUUCUUAGAACUCUUGUGCUCAUCACCACCUUCCAAUCCAGUGUAGGUUCAGCAACCCUGAUCACAUCUCCUAGCUUGCUAUUACUCAUUGGCUUUGCUGGAACCAUUGUAUUCAUCUCCUUCAGAUUUCCUCCCUGAGCCUGCAGAGGCUUCUGGUUGCCGUAUGUCUUUCCCAUCUCUAAUAACUUCAGCCCUCUGAGUCUUGAUGACGACUCCUCACAGUAAGUGCCUUUCAGUCAACAAGAGAGCAAAGUGGUACAUGAUGAGAUGAAAAAGCUAGAAAGCAUCAAAACAGAUGUAGAGAUAUUGAUCGUACAAAUUCUACCCAGGCACACAAGACAAUACUCAAUGAGAGGAUUUCAGGAAAACUUAAAAGCAGAGCCACCCUAUCAAUCAGUUUCAAAUUAUGCAAGCUUCCUACAUUGCUAUAAUCAUGUUCAUCCUCUCAUUAUUUGGGGAUGGUGCAGAACAAACUUGAACAAAUGUACUACAUAAAAUAUAUAGACGAUCCAAUGAUGACCAAGUUUGGAAAAA